AGAUUGAACGCUGGCGGCAGGCUUAACACAUGCAAGUCGAGCGGUAGCACAGGGGAGCUUGCUCCCCGGGUGACGAGCGGCGGACGGGUGAGUAAUGUCUGGGAAACUGCCUGAUGGAGGGGGAUAACUACUGGAAACGGUAGCUAAUACCGCAUAACGUCGCAAGACCAAAGAGGGGGACCUUCGGGCCUCUUGCCAUCAGAUGUGCCCAGAUGGGAUUAGCUAGUAGGUGGGGUAAUGGCUCACCUAGGCGACGAUCCCUAGCUGGUCUGAGAGGAUGACCAGCCACACUGGAACUGAGACACGGUCCAGACUCCUACGGGAGGCAGCAGUGGGGAAUAUUGCACAAUGGGCGCAAGCCUGAUGCAGCCAUGCCGCGUGUGUGAAGAAGGCCUUCGGGUUGUAAAACACUUUCAGCGAGGAGGAAGGUGGUGAGCUUAAUACGUUCAUCAAUUGACGUUACUCGCAGAAGAAGCACCGGCUAACUCCGUGCCAGCAGCCGCGGUAAUACGGAGGGUGCAAGCGUUAAUCGGAAUUACUGGGCGUAAAGCG
rnacentral:rRNA from 1 species